CGGAACACGUACGCAACCUUCCUUUAACUGGAGAAUAGCCCCUCGAAAGAGGGAUUAAUACUCCGUAACAUAUACAUGUGGCAUCACAAGUAUAUAAUAGCUCCGGCGGUUAAAGAUGGGCGUGCGCCUGAUUAGAUAGUUGGCGGGGUAACGGCCCACCAAGUCUGCGAUCAGUAACUGGUGUGAGAGCACGACCAGUCACACGGGCACUGAGACACGGGCCCG
rnacentral:rRNA from 1 species